AGGGCGCACGGUGGAUGCCUUGGCACUAGAAGCCGAUGAAGGACGUUACUAACGACGAUAUGCUUUGGGGAGCUGUAAGUAAGCUUUGAUCCAGAGAUUUCCGAAUGGGGAAACCCAAGCAUGAGUUAUGUCAUGUUAUCGAUAUGUGAAUACAUAGCAUAUCAGAAGGCACACCCGGAGAACUGAAACAUCUUAGUACCCGGAGGAAGAGAAAGAAAAUUCGAUUCCCUUAGUAGCGGCGAGCGAAACGGGAAGAGCCCAAACCAACAAGCUUGCUUGUUGGGGUUGUAGGACACUCUAUACGGAGUUACAAAGGACGACAUUAGACGAAUCAUCUGGAAAGAUGAAUCAAAGAAGGUAAUAAUCCUGUAGUCGAAAAUGUUGUCUCUCUUGAGUGGAUCCUGAGUACGACGGAGCACGUGAAAUUCCGUCGGAAUCUGGGAGGACCAUCUCCUAAGGCUAAAUACUCUCUAGUGACCGAUAGUGAACCAGUACCGUGAGGGAAAGGUGAAAAGCACCCCGGAAGGGGAGUGAAAUAGAACCUGAAACCGUGUGCUUACAAGUAGUCAGAGCCCGUUAAUGGGUGAUGGCGUGCCUUUUGUAGAAUGAACCGGCGAGUUACGAUUUGAUGCAAGGUUAAGCAGUAAAUGUGGAGCCGUAGCGAAAGCGAGUCUGAAUAGGGCGUUUAGUAUUUGGUCGUAGACCCGAAACCAGGUGAUCUACCCUUGGUCAGGUUGAAGUUCAGGUAACACUGAAUGGAGGACCGAACCGACUUACGUUGAAAAGUGAGCGGAUGAACUGAGGGUAGCGGAGAAAUUCCAAUCGAACCUGGAGAUAGCUGGUUCUCUCCGAAAUAGCUUUAGGGCUAGCCUCAAGUGAUGAUUAUUGGAGGUAGAGCACUGUUUGGACGAGGGGCCCCUCUCGGGUUACCGAAUUCAGACAAACUCCGAAUGCCAAUUAAUUUAACUUGGGAGUCAGAACAUGGGUGAUAAGGUCCGUGUUCGAAAGGGAAACAGCCCAGACCACCAGCUAAGGUCCCAAAAUAUAUGUUAAGUGGAAAAGGAUGUGGCGUUGCCCAGACAACUAGGAUGUUGGCUUAGAAGCAGCCAUCAUUUAAAGAGUGCGUAAUAGCUCACUAGUCGAGUGACACUGCGCCGAAAAUGUACCGGGGCUAAACAUAUUACCGAAGCUGUGGAUUGUCCUUUGGACAAUGGUAGGAGAGCGUUCUAAGGGCGUUGAAGCAUGAUCGUAAGGACAUGUGGAGCGCUUAGAAGUGAGAAUGCCGGUGUGAGUAGCGAAAGACGGGUGAGAAUCCCGUCCACCGAUUGACUAAGGUUUCCAGAGGAAGGCUCGUCCGCUCUGGGUUAGUCGGGUCCUAAGCUGAGGCCGACAGGCGUAGGCGAUGGAUAACAGGUUGAUAUUCCUGUACCACCUAUAAUCGUUUUAAUCGAUGGGGGGACGCAGUAGGAUAGGCGAAGCGUGCGAUUGGAUUGCACGUCUAAGCAGUAAGGCUGAGUAUUAGGCAAAUCCGGUACUCGUUAAGGCUGAGCUGUGAUGGGGAGAAGACAUUGUGUCUUCGAGUCGUUGAUUUCACACUGCCGAGAAAAGCCUCUAGAUAGAAAAUAGGUGCCCGUACCGCAAACCGACACAGGUAGUCAAGAUGAGAAUUCUAAGGUGAGCGAGCGAACUCUCGUUAAGGAACUCGGCAAAAUGACCCCGUAACUUCGGGAGAAGGGGUGCUCUUUAGGGUUAACGCCCAGAAGAGCCGCAGUGAAUAGGCCCAAGCGACUGUUUAUCAAAAACACAGGUCUCUGCUAAACCGUAAGGUGAUGUAUAGGGGCUGACGCCUGCCCGGUGCUGGAAGGUUAAGAGGAGUGGUUAGCUUCUGCGAAGCUACGAAUCGAAGCCCCAGUAAACGGCGGCCGUAACUAUAACGGUCCUAAGGUAGCGAAAUUCCUUGUCGGGUAAGUUCCGACCCGCACGAAAGGCGUAACGAUUUGGGCACUGUCUCAACGAGAGACUCGGUGAAAUCAUAGUACCUGUGAAGAUGCAGGUUACCCGCGACAGGACGGAAAGACCCCGUGGAGCUUUACUGUAGCCUGAUAUUGAAAUUCGGCACAGCUUGUACAGGAUAGGUAGGAGCCUUUGAAACGUGAGCGCUAGCUUACGUGGAGGCGCUGGUGGGAUACUACCCUAGCUGUGUUGGCUUUCUAACCCGCACCACUUAUCGUGGUGGGAGACAGUGUCAGGCGGGCAGUUUGACUGGGGCGGUCGCCUCCUAAAAGGUAACGGAGGCGCUCAAAGGUUCCCUCAGAAUGGUUGGAAAUCAUUCAUAGAGUGUAAAGGCAUAAGGGAGCUUGACUGCGAGACCUACAAGUCGAGCAGGGUCGAAAGACGGACUUAGUGAUCCGGUGGUUCCGCAUGGAAGGGCCAUCGCUCAACGGAUAAAAGCUACCCCGGGGAUAACAGGCUUAUCUCCCCCAAGAGUUCACAUCGACGGGGAGGUUUGGCACCUCGAUGUCGGCUCAUCGCAUCCUGGGGCUGUAGUCGGUCCCAAGGGUUGGGCUGUUCGCCCAUUAAAGCGGUACGCGAGCUGGGUUCAGAACGUCGUGAGACAGUUCGGUCCCUAUCCGUCGUGGGCGUAGGAAAUUUGAGAGGAGCUGUCCUUAGUACGAGAGGACCGGGAUGGACAUACCUCUGGUGUACCAGUUGUCGUGCCAACGGCAUAGCUGGGUAGCUAUGUGUGGACGGGAUAAGUGCUGAAAGCAUCUAAGCAUGAAGCCCCCCUCAAGAUGAGAUUUCCCAACUUCGGUUAU
rnacentral:rRNA from 1 species